UUGAACACUUAACUCCAAACCUGGAAGUGACACUUGAGGGGAAAAACGGUCUGUCUAGUUACUGGACCAGAUGAAAUGAGACGGAGAGGUAAUAAAGUCUGUCGGCACGAGGACCUUGGAUUUAUUAAGUAAAGUGCCAACGGUUAUACAGAGUCAUAAAGCGUGAGAGAUCGAAUAUGUCUAAGUCCCUAAUCAGCGCUGAUGGUUCGUCCAGAACUUCGCCUCCGUGGAAGGUCUGCUUCAGAAGAAGAUGAAGAGUCCCUGUGUGUUACAGUCUUAUGCUAUACCGAGGUUGAUGCAGACACAUUUGAUGAGCUGAUAAAGUCAGGGUUCCGAAACUUCAAGGUUGGAUACCGCAAGUACCCAGUAACGGAGUUGGACAUUGAAUUGGUGGAAUACAACUCGCAGUCCUCCGUAUUGUCAGACUCCACAGCAUCACCAGUUUCAUUGCCAGGACCCCCCGCAUCACCAGCUUCUACAAGUUCAGGUUCGACAAUCAUCCUCCCAUCCACUAAAAACCGGAAGAGAGGCCUGGUAGAGCUGGAACGUAAUGAAGCAAGACAGUUUUUGCAGAAAGUUGAUACUAUUCUGAGGUCCAACCCGAAAGGUGAAGAAAUCUUCAAAGAAUAUGACAAAACUAAGACGCUGUCAGACACGACACGCAGACAUAUGAUCAACAUUCUGGUUGCAGAAAUGACAGAUUCACAUGGGAGGAUUCCCCCCAGAAGUGUCAGGACUAGUUAUGCACUCGGAAUUGUGACCCUUUUCCCAUAUCUACAAGAUCCGUACUCAGAGCAUGGAUAUGAACAUUACUAUGACCCUGAGGCGAAUACUGGCUAUCUUGCUUGGAGACUCAAGACAGUCCAACGCAACACGCACGAUGGCCUCCGUGGGCAUUCCAGGCCCAAUCCCCAGGGCAGUCCAACAACCCAACGAGAAUCUUUGUUGAUUGCUGAACAGCUCAAGGAUGAGGAGUGCAGAGAGGCCGUGUCUGUAAUAAGACACUCCACAGAUGAAUCCGUGGUCAAAGAGAAGAUGAGAGCCACCUUCGAAUACAGACAGAAGCUGGUUCAUGACCAGGAUGCAACAUCUUCAGUCUUUGACGUCUUCC
ensembl:lncRNA